UGUAUUGGUUCAGCUCUUGGUGCAUUAGAACCUGAAGCUUUUUUGAGUAUUUUACCGCUCAAUCUGGAGUCAGAAGAUCUGUCAGAGAGUAGUCUUAGGUUGUUUCCUAUCUUGAAGCACUAUACAGUUGGAGCCAGUCUAAGUUUCUUUACAAAGUCAAUUCUUGAGAUGGUCCAAUUCUUAAGGAAGAAAUCUCAGAGGCUUGAGCAAGAGGGUCCGAUAUACUCAACAAGGAGCACAGAAGCACUGGUGUAUUCACGUUGGUCUUUGUUUCCAGCCUUUUGCAACUAUCCCGUGGGUACUGCUAACUGCUCCAAAGUUUUUGAAGAAGCAUCAUGUAGGGCCCUUGUGAAGAGCCUGAUGGGCUUGGGAUUGUGUGUUCUUGUUUGCAGAUAUUAAUUCAACAGACUAAUAGAAUGGUGGAAGGAAGUAAUGAUAUCGACUCGGUGAAGGUUUGCUUCUGAAAUUAUUAAAAACAAUCACUGGAAUUAUCUUGCGUGUAUCAUGCAUUUUACUCCAGUUAGUGUGCCUCAUGGCGUUUGUAUGAGCUUGCUCAAAUGCUGUAUUAUCAUGGUGCGCACUAAAAUGCUCGUCCUACUCCAGUUCAACUUCUGAUGGAUAUGAUAACAAAUUGUAAGUCGAGGCCACAAUUGACGCA